rnacentral:rRNA from 1 species
AGUCUCAGUAAAAGCCGAAUUAAGGUGAAACCGCGAAUGGCUCAAUAUAUCAGUUUUGGUUCCUUAGAUCGUACACAGUUACUUGGAUAACUGUGGCAAUUCUAGAGCUAAUACAUGCAAACGAGGUCCUGACCGGUAACGGGAGGGAUGCUUUUAUUAGAUCAAAAACCAAUCGGCGGCGGGGCUCGCGCCCCGUCCGUCGCCAUUCGAGAUGACUCUAGAUAACUUUGAGCUGAUCGCACGGUCUAGCACCGGCGACGCAUCUUUCAAAUGUCUGCCUUAUCAACUGUCGAUGGUAGUUUAUGCGACUACCAUGGUUGUCACGGGUAACGGGGAAUCAGGGUUCGAUUCCGGAGAGGGAGCCUGAGAAACGGCUACCACAUCCACGGAAGGCAGCAGGCGCGCAAAUUACCCACUCCCGGCACGGGGAGGUAGUGACGAAAAAUAACGAUACGGGACUCGUCCGAGGCCUCGUGAUCGGAAUGAUUACACUUUAAAUCCUUUAACGAGGAUCCAUUGGAGGGCAAGUCUGGUGCCAGCAGCCGCGGUAAUUCCAGCUCCAAUAGCAUAUACUAAAGUUGUUGCGGUUAAAAAGCUCGUAGUUGAAAUUGUGUCCUGCGGUGUCGGUCUACCGAAUGCGGUACGACAGGCACGUCUGCGGGGCUUCUCGCCGGUGCGUCCACCGCCGGCGUGCGUCGGUCGGCCUCGCGGCCGGCCGUCCACCGAGGCGGGCCGUCGCGGCUGUUUACUUUGAACAAAUUAGAGUGCUCAAAGCGGGCUAACACUUGCCUGAAUAUUGUACGCAUGGAAUAAUAGAAUAGGACCUCGGUUCUGUUUUGUUGGCUUUCUGAUACCAGAGGUAAUGAUUAAUAGGGACAACUGGGGGCAUUCGUAUUGCGACGUUAGAGGUGAAAUUCUUGGAUCGUCGCAAGACGGACUAAAGCGAAAGCAUU